UCCCAUUUUGUUUUUCGGCUGAUGUUUAGUUUAGUUUUUGUUUCCUGCGAUGUGAAGCAGCAGAGCAGCGGAUAGAGGAGGAGCUACAUGUUUGAAUCCCGCUCCCCCACCGGAAGGUCGUGAUUUAAAGGACUCCCAUGAGCACCAUGAACCACACACAGCCAAUCAGCCAUAAACCAGUCCUAACAGUAUGAAGUGCUAUUAAGCUUCCAACUGUUCUUUUGUAUUCCCGGUGACGAAGCCAUGAGAGCUGGAAGACAUAGACUGUUGCUGUUAUGCCUUAAAGCAUCAGCUGCAAACAAUAAAGACUAAAAGUGGUAUUUUCUUAUUUUCCCUCAUGUUUGUCUCCCCACAACAUUCUUGUCUUUAUGGUGGCCCAGACAUGUGACUUGGAUUAAAAAAGGCUAUUGUGUCUUGUGAGUGAGAGGUUAAUCUUUCAUAAUCUCAAAGAAGUUUUAUUUCUCAAAGAGACUGCGUUUUCUUACUUUUUGUUGCCUGGAAAUAUAAGGUGAGAGUUGUGGCCUAUCACCAGACAGUUAUAUUUACAUUUUGUGCUCUGACUUUUGAAUGUGAUCAUAGAAAUUGAAGGUUAUUAUUAAAGGAACAGUGUGCAACAUUUAGGGGGAUCUAUUAGCAGAAAUAAAAUGUAAUAUUCAUAACUAUGUUUUCAUUAGUGUAUAAUCACCUGAAACUAAGAAUCAUGUUUUCGUUAGCUUAGAAUGAGCCCUUCAUAUCUACAUAGGGAGCGGGUCCUGUUCAUAGAGUUAUUUCCUGCUAUAUACCUUCUAAAACAGAAGGAGUUAACAUGGUGAUGUUUGCAUGUUUACAUCAUUUAUGUCCCUUUACAACUACUUUCUCUACAAUAUUACAACAGACCAAAGUCCAAACUGUCAAAUGUCUCACCCAAUGGCCACAUUUGGUCAUUUAAAGGGGUACUCCAGCAAUUUUGUAACUCAUUCCGUAAAGAUGGGCGACUUGCAAGACACAGAUUUUAAAAAAAGAUGGUCGAAAUUGAUGUAGCAGAGGCUGAGAUAUUCUGACUUUUUAGUUUCAGUGUUGUGUGAGGACACUGAUGAACUCCAUUGAUGUUUCCGUUUUCACAAUAAAGUUUUUUGGCACAUUAAUGCAAGAGCUGCUGGAAUUUUCAUCAUCUUUUUUCCUGUACCAGAGCUCAACUUCUUCUUAAAACUUUCCCCAGUAUCCAUUUGUAUCAAGACUCAUCAUUUUGUCCCUAUUUUACUUUUAGUAAUUGUGAUAUAAAACAGAAUUACAUAACUGUUUCUACCAUAAAAGGGCUGAUAACUAACAUUGUACCAAGAAUGAAAUCUCAUCUGAAAAUGCUGCGAACAUUUUAUGCACUCACUCAUUGUGCUGCCAAAUGAAAUAAAAUGUACUUUUUUUUUAUGCAAAUUGAUUUAGCAGAUGCUGAGAUAUUCUGACUUCUAGUCCCUAGUAUAAGUCCCAAUACAUAGUAUGUCAAAUGCAGUAUGCCAAAACUACCAGGAUGUCUUACUACAUCUGGUCGCAUUUUGCAGUAUACCAAAGUCAGCAUGCUUUUCUGGCUAUUCUGACCCACAAUCCUCUGCACGGGGAUAUAUGAGCAAGAUGGUCAAAGUUCAAGGCUCAAUGUUAUGACAAAGUCCCUAUUGUAUGCAUACUGCAUGUAACAGUACGUAUUUUAUUAGGGCAGCGGCAGUAUGUACUAAAAGUAAAAAGAAAAAGUAUGCGAUUUUGAACGUAGCCUGCAGCCCACAUUUCCCAUAAUGCAACUCGAUAGAGAUGACACUAUACAACAGUUUCACAGGCUGAGUAGUACUAUCCAUAACCCAGUAAAAAAAUGAACAACACAAGAGUUUUACAGUGAAAACCUUUAUUAAGUGUUCAUAUAUUCUUAAAGGAAUCUCUUUAAUUGCUCUAUGUUAACCUCCUCCAUAUUUGCUAAUUGUUUGGUAUCUAUAGAAUAUCUAUUUACACAGGAACAUUAUCCACAGGUGACGCUGGGACAGGCCUUAAUACUAAUCCAUCACCACUAGAGUUCACUCCUCAGGCACACCAGUCACUAUACAUAAUACUCCAUCAUGUUACCCUGUAUGUCCCAACAAAACAAAGCGAGAAAAGGGA